AAUAGAUACCCCGGUAGUCCACGCCGUAAACGAUGAAUGCUAGGUGUUAGGGGUUUCGAUACCCUUGGUGCCGAAGUUAACACAUUAAGCAUUCCGCCUGGGGAGUACGGUCGCAAGACUGAAACUCAAAGGAAUUGACGGGGACCCGCACAAGCAGUGGAGUAUGUGGUUUAAUUCGAAGCAACGCGAAGAACCUUACCAGGUCUUGACAUCCCUCUGACCGCCGCAGAGAUGUGGCUUUCCUUCGGGACAGAGGAGACAGGUGGUGCAUGGUUGUCGUCAGCUCGUGUCGUGAGAUGUUGGGUUAAGUCCCGCAACGAGCGCAACCCUUGAUCUUAGUUGCCAGCACUUCGGGUGGGCACUCUAAGGUGACUGCCGGUGACAAACCGGAGGAAGGUGGGGAUGACGUCAAAUCAUCAUGCCCCUUAUGACCUGGGCUACACACGUACUACAAUGGCCAGUACAACGGGAAGCGAAGCCGCGAGGUGGAGCCAAUCCUAUCAAAGCUGGUCUCAGUUCGGAUUGCAGGCUG
rnacentral:rRNA from 1 species